UGUGGCUGGGCUGCUGAUGGUGGAUGCUGACUCGACAGGGCAUAUCAUGGGGAAAACAGAUGAAAGAAGGCAUCAAAGCACGAGAUCAAACCUGAGAAAAGGCCUGCUAGGAUGCUCCCGAUGAUACGUACCACCAUAGGAGGAUGCUGCCACUAUCAUGUUCCACUGCAGUGAUGGUAUAAGCAGACCAGUCAAACCAGCAACAUCUCGGUCCUCGGUCCAUCCCUGGGUGGAGCAGAGAAUCACUGCAGUUGACAAGUUGGAUUAGACUAACCGUCGCCUUUGGUUCUGCAAGGUUUCAGUGUGUGUGUGUGUGUGUGUGUGUGUGUGUGUGUGUGUGUGUGUGUGUGUGUGUGUGUGUGUGUGUGUGUGUGUGUGUGUGUGUGUGUGUGUGUGUGUGUGUGUGUGUGUGUGUGUGCGUGAGACUGAAUCUGUGUGGCACCUGCAUGCACACAAACUCAAGCAAUAAGACAACUUUAUGUUUCCACAGAAAGUCUUGGAAGGUGGCACAGUGACUCGGUGGUUAAGACUGUGGCCUUGGAGCUAGAAGAUCCCCGGUUCGUGUCCUGGUCUGGACCUGGAAUCUUUCUGCGUGGAGUUUGCAUGUUCUCCCUGUGCAUGUGUGGGUUUUCUCCAGCUACUCCAGCUUUCUACCACAACCCAAAAACAUACCGAGGAAUCCCUAAAAUGCAAAUUUGAAAAUGCACAGACAAAGAGAGGCAGAGAGAGAUGACACUCCGCCCCAUAGAGUAGAGGAAACAGGACAUCAUGAAAGGAAGUGCAGCAACAACAUCAUUCCCUCCCCUGCAGUUCCUCCUCCUCCCCUUCCUCCUCCUCCUCCUCCUCCUCCUCGCCCUCAUCGCACACACACACACACACAUGUUCCCAUGUAAUUCCCCUCCCUCCCAAUCCUCCUGCACUUGUAAAACGUUGGCGUGCCACCGGUAACCAUGGCAACGGCUGCACGUCGGCUGCUCGAGAUGCAUUCGCAGCAACCACGCCGUGAAAACAGCACCAUCCCACCCACUGGAGGGAAAGAGGCCGCAUUCAUCACCAUGACGAGGGCAGUGCUGGGUGUUAAUGUGGUGGACUUCGCUGCGAAUACGACAAAUCCAGUCCAACAACAACAUCCACUCUUGAUUCAUGUCCUGUGACACACGCACGGGUGGCUUAAAAACACAGAAUGAUACAUUUAUACAGCUUAAACAACAAAAAUGAAAAUGUGCUUUGAAUGGAUCCACUUCACACACUGUAUGCUGCAGAUACUUAACUCAAACACACCCACUCAGAUUUAUAUAUCAGUGUGUACAUAACCAUACAUGGGAUCAUAUUCUGGUUUUCAGUUCCUUUAUUUAUAUCCUGAAUCUGUGUUAUUCAUUUGCUAAUUUAGUUGUUUUCUAAAUGAAUUCAAACCAGAAAUCAUAGUUGAAAAUAAGCAAAUCAUACCUGCUGCAUUUCCUCCUCCAGCAACCAUUUGUAGCUCUAUAUGGUCCCUGGUAAAUAUGUAAGCAAAAACUAUUAAAUAAAAUAUAAAAAGCCCUGUUUCAGCCCUUUUUUUUAACAUUAAGUUAAAUUUUUUUCCCAUUUGCAAGGGAAUUGUUGAAACAAAUUACACACUAUUGACUUUAGGACUUUCAGUGUUUACUUUUGUAACACAAAUAAUCCAUUUUAUUUCUUCAUAUGCCAUUUGAUUUAAGAGAUUUGAUCACAUUUAUUGCCAAAAUUCUCAUUCACAUAUGGAAAUAAACUGUGUUUUUGGUCAGUGACAUUAAAGACUGCAUUCCCCUGUUGUGUAAACUUUAAUGCUUUAUAUUGUGGAAUUUAUAAAAUAUAAAUGAUUAAUAAGAAUGAAUACUUCUAUUAUUUAAGAGUAAAGAACAGCUGUCAACACACAUCUUACCUUUGUGGUUUUAUUUAAGCUCUCUUAUUUUUUUUAGGAUUUAUGCAAUCAAUAACCUUGUUCUAGGUUCUCCCUGUUUCAUUAGGUUUUAAUGUACAUAAGUUAACUGUAUUAUAAAAUUUUAUGCACUUGUUCUUUAGAAUAAAAAAUCUCUCCAUAAACACUGCCAUCUACCUGCCAGAUUUUGGCUGUUGUGUCUGCUGCUGCACCCAGGGGCCCAGUUAAAUAAACAGCUGACUGAGUCACAUCGAGACUCACAAUUAGAGAGGAAAAAAUACUGUACUGUUAAAACAAGAAGCUACAAUGAAGACACAGACUGGGUCUUUAUUUUGUCACACUUCCUUUGUGUGUCCAUGUGUGUGUGUGUGUGUGUGUGUGUGUGUGUGUGUGUGUGGACCAGAUUACUAACCAGUCGGAGGUGACACACUCCUCUGGCAUCCUCCACUGUCUGCCUGCCCCCAAAUCCUGCCCGUCUCCGUCUGCUUGACUCUCUUCGUCUGCUUGUGUCUCGUGUGCACCACAUGACCUCACUGCCCAAAGAUCAGGCAUCCCAGGGAGCAUUACUGCCCUCGUCUCCAUGGCAACAGCC